UUACGGCCACAUCAUGAUGAAACACCUGUUCCCGUACGAUCACCGAAGUUAAGCCACGUCGAACCUGGUCAGUAACUAGAUGAGUGAUUGCUUGAGAAUACUAGGUGUUGUAA